rnacentral:misc_RNA from 1 species
UUUCCGUAGGUGAACCUGCGGAAGGAUCAUUAGAAAGUUCGAUGCCGAAAGGCGUCCCACCUUCAAACCAUUGUGAAACUACCCGUUGCUUCGGCGGCGCUGGAACGCCUUCACCGGCCGCCCUCGUCAGUCCGCCCGAGGCUCCAAAACCAAAACUUUUCUGUAACCGUAGUCUGAACAACUAAGAUUUAAUUCGUUAAAACUUUCAACAACGGAUCUCUUGGUUCUC